GGUUCGAUGGUGUAGUCGGUCAUCACAUCUGUCUCACAUCGUGGAUGUUGUGAAUUUGUGCACAGAAGGUCUUCAGUUCGAGUCUGGAUCGAACCA